UCCCUGGCGGUCCAGUGGUUAAGACCCUGUGCUUCCACUGCAGGGGAUACAGGUUCUACUCCUGGUUAGGGAA
rnacentral:tRNA from 1 species